rnacentral:rRNA from 1 species
UACGAAGGGGGCUAGCGUUGCUCGGAAUGACUGGGCGUAAAGGGCGCGUAGGCGGAUGGCACAGUCAGAUGUGAAAUUCCCGGGCUUAACCUGGGGGCUGCAUUUGAUACGUGUGAUCUAGAGUGAGGAAGAGGUGAGUGGAACUCCUAGUGUAGAGGUGGAAUUCGUAGAUAUUAGGAAGAACACCAGUGGCGAAGGCGGCUCACUGGUCCGGUACUGACGCUGAGGUGGCGAAAGCGUGGGGAGCAAACAGG